rnacentral:rRNA from 1 species
CAGUCGCCGCGGGAAUACGUAGGCGGUAAACGUUGUCCGGAAUUAUUGGGCGUAAAGCGAGCGCAGGCGGUUAGAUAAGUCUGAAGUUAAAGGCUGUGGCUUAACCAUAGUUCGCUUUGGAAACUGUUUAACUUGAGUGCAAGAGGGGAGAGUGGAAUUCCAUGUGUAGCGGUGAAAUGCGUAGAUAUAUGGAGGAACACCGGUGGCGAAAGCGGCUCUCUGGUCUGUAACUGACGCUGAGGCUCGAAAGCGUGGGGAGCAAACAGGAUUAGAUACCCCCGUAGUCCCUGUCUCUUAUACA